rnacentral:rRNA from 1 species
UACAGAGGGGGCAAGCGUUGUUCGGAAUUACUGGGCGUAAAGGGCGCGUAGGCGGCCUUCUAAGUCGAACGUGAAAUCCCUGGGCUCAACCCAGGAACUGCGUCCGAUACUGGGAGGCUUGAAUCCGGGAGAGGGAUGCGGAAUUCCAGGUGUAGCGGUGAAAUGCGUAGAUAUCUGGAGGAAUACCGGUGGCGAAGGCGGCAUCCUGGACCGGCAUUGACGCUGAGGAGCGAAAGCCAGGGGAGCAAACGGG